rnacentral:lncRNA from 1 species
AUGAGGAACCCCCAACAGGUUAGUGUGUAUGUCAACUACAUCCUCUGUCCAUGGAGCACUACGUCUAUGUCUCCCAUGGGAUGGAAUGUUUUCAGGUCCCCUGGAUACAAAACCCAACAGCUGCUCAGCAGUAACAUCAACAAUGGUCAGUGGAAUUAUCAAACUGGUCAGACCACACGUACCUUGCCAGUCUCCUCUAAGAAUGGGUCCACAGAUCCACACACAUCAGCCCGACCACUAGUUUGGUUUAGGCCUGUAACUGGCCAAGUGGCAUUAAUGGUUAUGUUACUACUGCAAUCAGCUUCAGGCAACCUCCAUGUCUAUGUCCAUAGUCAUACCUGUACUGUGAUGCAACUGUAAUUGCCCCCAUAUGCCUUAACACCCGAAGGGACCCGAUGAGGAGGUACUGUAGGAAACACAAGGCUCAAAGAGGAACAGAGAGUUGAAUUGGGCUGAACCUGGUAAAAACCUCUCAGAAUACACAAACCACCCUCUCCUUCUCCUAUAGCAAAUGGGUGUGUAGCCAGAACAGGUCUAGCUGACCACAGAUAAUGCAGUCCUUUCUUUUCAAGGUCUUAUCUGUAUACCUCAUUAGACAGCCACAAAUUGUCCCUACCAUCAAAACCAGUCUCAUGCCUAAUUGAUCAAUAGCUGAAUAGUCUCUAACGUUAUUACCUGAAUGGGAUUUGACACAGUGGUGGUGGGUGGCAGGUUCGGUCCAGGGGUGGUAGAGGAAUGUGUCUGGCUCUGGUUCCUCUGGGACCUCUGUGGUUUUGGCACACCUUAAUGAAAACACACCCAUCGUGUCUGUCCCCGGUCCUUUGUAGUCUGGGGUGUAGUGCCUGCAUCAGAGGCUUAAUAGUUUUUAUGGUUAGUAGAUUUCAUCACCCAUAUCAUGGAAAACCCUAUCCACCUUUGUGGGAUCCCCCAUGCUAAAAGGAUACCCUCUUCACCAAUCCAGGACUGUCCCAAAUUGGUUAUCAUGUAUCCCCAUACGGACACCCUCCCCCAUUACACAGGUACACUGGCACUCCUAUACCACAGGUGUUAAAACCAAACACAAAUAUCUCAAUUUCUUCCCUGCC